rnacentral:rRNA from 1 species
CCUACGGGCGGCUGCAGUGAGGAAUAUUGGUCAAUGGGCGCGAGCCUGAACCAGCCAAGUCGCGUGAGGGAUGACGGUCCUACGGAUUGUAAACCUCUUUUGCCGGGGAGCAAGCGUGCGUUCGUGAACGCGCGUCGAGAGUACCCGGAGAAAAAGCAUCGGCUAACUCCGUGCCAGCAGCCGCGGUAAUACGGAGGAUGCGAGCGUUAUCCGGAUUUACUGGGUGUAAAGGGGGCGCAGACGGCGAUGCAAGCCAGGAGUGAAAGCCCGGGGCCCAACCCCGGGACUGCUCUUGGAACUGCGUGGCUGGAGUGCAGGAGGGGCAGGCGGAAUUCGUGGUGUAGCGGUGAAAUGCUUAGAUAUCACGAAGAACUCCGAUUGCGAAGGCAGCUCACUGGACUGCAACUGACACUGAGGCUCGAAAGUGUGGGUAUCAAACAGGAUUAGAUACCCGAGUAGUC